AGUGAACGCUGGCGGUAGGCCUAACACAUGCAAGUCGAACGGCAGCACAGUAAGAGCUUGCUCUUACGGGUGGCGAGUGGCGGACGGGUGAGGAAUACAUCGGAAUCUACUUUUUCGUGGGGGAUAACGUAGGGAAACUUACGCUAAUACCGCAUACGACCUACGGGUGAAAGCAGGGGAUCUUCGGACCUUGCGCGAUUGAAUGAGCCGAUGUCGGAUUAGCUAGUUGGCGGGGUAAAGGCGCACCAAGGCGACGAUCCGUAGCUGGUCUGAGAGGAUGGUCAGCCACACUGGAACUGAGACACGGUCCAGACUCCUACGGGAGGCAGCAGUGGGGAAUAUUGGACAAUGGACGCAAGCCUGAUCCAGCCAUACCGCGUGAAUGAAGAAGGCCUUCGGGUUGUAAAGCCCUUUUGUUGGGAAAGAAAAGCAGCAGGUUAAUACCCCGCUGUUCUGACGGUACCCAAAGAAUAAGCUCCGGCUAACUUCGUG
rnacentral:rRNA from 1 species